UACGUAGGGGGCAAGCGUUGUCCGGAAUCAUUGGGCGUAAAGCGCGCGUAGGCGGCCCGGUAAGUCCGCUGUGAAAGUCCAGGGCUCAACCCUGGGAUGCCGGUGGAUACUGUCGGGCUCGAGUCCGGAAGAGGAGUGUGGAAUUCCUGGUGUAGCGGUGAAAUGCGCAGAUAUCAGGAGGAACACCAAUGGCGAAGGCAGCACUCUGGGACGUGACUGACGCUGAGACGCGAAAGCGUGGGGAGCGAAUGGG
rnacentral:rRNA from 1 species